rnacentral:rRNA from 1 species
GACGAACGCUGGCGGCGUGCUUAACACAUGCAAGUCGAACGGUGAAGCUCCAGCUUGCUGGAGUGGAUCAGUGGCGAACGGGUGAGUAACACGUGAGCAACCUGCCCCUGACUCUGGAAUAAGCGCUGGAAACGGCGUCUAAUACUGGAUACGAGAAGGGUCCGCAUGGGCACUUUCUGGAAAGUUUUUCGGUUGGGGAUGGGCUCGCGGCCUAUCAGCUUGUUGGUGAGGUAAUGGCUCACCAAGGCGACGACGGGUAGCCGGCCUGAGAGGGCGACCGGCCACAAUGGGACUGAGACACGGACCAGACUCCUACGGGAGGCAGCAGUGGGGAAUAUUGCACAAUGGGCGAAAGCCUGAUGCAGCGACGCCGCGUGAGGGAUGACGGCCUUCGGGUUGUAAACCUCUUUCAGCAGGGAAGAAGCGAAAGUGACGGUACCUGCAGAAGAAGCACCGGCUAACUACGUG